GAAGACUGACAGUUUGUUGAGGUCGCUGUUCAGUCAUUCGCCAGCAUUCGGAGCCAUACAGUAGAGUGGACAUGACCAGACUCUGGUAAAGUCUCAGCUUGGUAUUGAUGUUGUACUGUGUCAACUUCCAGAUGUUGCUUAGGCUACAGAAGAUGCCCCUGGCUUUGCUCAGUCUGCUCUGGAUUUAAGCUUUAACUGGGGGCACAACAAGACCCAGAACCAAACUUUGAUCUGUCAGAAUGUGAAUUACAGGAGGUUCCUUCUGGCGUUUAUGCAAUCUGCAAGGUGCUCCAAAAAGAGGCUUUUUUUCUACACAGCAACUGGCUCAGCUCACUAAAUGGAGGUGGAAUUCUUUCAGACCUCUUCUUGCUAAGGGUGAGACAUUGAGACAUACUUAUUAGCUCUUCCAGUGCAGUUCACACCUGAGAAUGCGAACAUCUUCAUGGCUGUAGCUCAGUUGCUUGGAUAACCGAUAAUAAAUGAGUUUAAGAGAACAUCUGCUUAGAAAUUUUUAACUGAUCAUCAGUUAAUAGUAACAGAUUUGUUAUGACAUGCCUGUCCCUCA